AUGGUCAUUGACGCUUGACUAGAUAAAGAGAAAGUAGCAUAAAGUAAUCAUGGUUUAGUUACUCUGUCUUUCAUGCUUUAUCUAUAUAUUAGAGGAGAGAUUGGAAGAGGAGGGGUAUCGAGUGAUUGAGUGAGGAAAUAGAUGAGAGAGCGAUCUUCUGAGAUGAUCUUAGUGAGAGAGAUCGUGAUCAGACCCUUUGUAUUCACUCUUUUAUUGAAUAAG
rnacentral:lncRNA from 1 species